UCAAUCCCCUGCUGCUUUUUGAAUCUUUGAAAUCGGACGAGAAAUGUCAUCGCAGCGAGAUUCAAGACUUAUGACAUCAACUCUUCUUCUUACGGUUCACACUCCAACAGAGGUAGCCAGGCUGACGGGAAUGCCUAGUAAGACCAUCUACAAUGCUAAGAAGUGGCUAGACUAUAACAAGACCAUAGAGAGGAAGGAGGGCUCGGUCAACCUGCUCCUUCGGGUACAGAUAAAUUUCCCUAACGCAAAGUCGUCUUUCAGCAAGAUGGGCCCCCCGCUCAUACUACUAAAAUUACUCAGACCUUCAUAGCUAACAGCAUCGCAUUCUGGGACAAGAGAAUGUGGCCACCAUACAAUCGGGAUGUGAAUCCUCUUGACUUUUCUUUCUGGCUUCAAAUGGAGAGGAGGGCCUGAAGCACCCAUCUCCCAAACACUGCUGAGAUGAAGGUCUCCGUCGACGAGGAGAGGGCUUCCAUGGACCCGAACUUCAUUCACGAUACUUGCAACUUUUUUAGCAAGAGGCUUGUCGUUAUCUGUAGAAUAAAUCAAUUUGACAUUGGCUAACGAUCAAAAAAAGAAAGACAUGCUAUUUUAUUUUUUCUUUCCAAGUGUAAAAGUUUCAAGUUUCCACCUGUUAUAACAAACCAACAAAGAUGAAAAUUAAUAUUUAAUUAUAACUUCCUCUUCUAACAUUGAAAAAAUCAAUGUAUUUCUGAUCUUUCACGAAUAAAUGUGUAUUUCUUGAAAUAUAGAAUAAAUCACUUAAA
rnacentral:lncRNA from 1 species